AUUGAACGCUGGCGGCAUGCCUUACACAUGCAAGUCGAACGGCAGCACGGGAGCAAUCCUGGUGGCGAGUGGCGAACGGGUGAGUAAUAUAUCGGAACGUGCCCAGUCGUGGGGAUAACGUAGCGAAAGCUACGCUAAUACCGCAUACGAUCUAUGGAUGAAAGCGGGGGAUCGCAAGACCUCGCGCGAUUGGAGCGGCCGAUAUCAGAUUAGGUAGUUGGUGAGGUAAAGGCUCACCAAGCCGACGAUCUGUAGCUGGUCUGAGAGGACGACCAGCCACACUGGAACUGAGACACGGUCCAGACUCCUACGGGAGGCAGCAGUGGGGAAUUUUGGGACAAUGGACGCAAGUCUGAUCCAGCCAUUCCGCGUGCAGGAUGAAGGCCCUCGGGUUGUAAACUGCUUUGUACGGAACGAAAGGUUUCUAUUAAUACUAGGAGCUCAUGACGGUACCGUAA
rnacentral:rRNA from 1 species